UGAAUCAACGUGGAAGAGAGAGAGAGAGAGUGAGAGAAAGAGAGACUAAAAACAAUGAAAUUUUAAUUCCUUUAGAGGAUGCAUCUAUGACGAUAAAUAUAAUUAUUUAAAUUCGAUACUUUCUCUGUGUGAGAGACACACACUCUACGUAGAAAUAUGAAAAUGUCUUCUAAUGAAUCAUUAUUAUCAUCACCCGAAGUAUGUCCCGCGUGUUCUUUUACAUCAUGCGUAUUGGGCUCUAUAUAAAAGAAAAAAUCUACAGAAUGAGGCAACCAACUUGAGGAAACAAAACUUUUAAGGACAAAUAUUUGCCCUAUUGCAGGGGAUAAAAACAAAUGGUCGAAAGAAUUUAUUCUCCACGUUUUUUGUUUAAUCGAACUAUAAUAAUGCAUACGUGCAUUAUUGGUUUGCGAAGAAACUACGAUAAGUGAGAGAAAUCAAUAAACAGAGACCACGUGACCAUGUAACCAUGCGAAUGUGCGAUACGGAAUCCUUAUUUUAUCAAAUAUAUUUUUACGAGACAAAAAACAUAUCAAAAA
rnacentral:lncRNA from 1 species